rnacentral:rRNA from 1 species
AACGAACGCUGGCGGCAGGCUUAACACAUGCAAGUCGAACGCAUCCUUCGGGGUGAGUGGCAGACGGGUGAGUAACGCGUGGGAACGUGCCCUUCAGUUCGGGAUAACCCAGGGAAACUUGGGCUAAUACCGGAUACGUGCGAGAGCAGAAAGAUUUAUCGCUGAAGGAUCGGCCCGCGUUGGGUUAGCUAGUUGGUGGGGUAACGGCCCACCAAGGCGACGAUCAGUAGCUGGUCUGAGAGGAUGAUCCGCAACAUUGGGACUGAGACACGGCCCAAACUCCUACGGGAGGCAGCAGUGGGGAAUAUUGGACAAGGGGCGUAAGCCUGAUCCAGCCAUGCCGCGUGAGUGAUGAAGGCCUUAGGGUUGUAAAGCUCUUUCGUCCGGGACGAUAAUGACGGUACCGGAAGAAGAAGCCCCGGCUAACUUCGUGCCAGCCGCCGCCGUAACAC